UGUAUUCGCAUCGAUUAGAGAUACUCUUAGAUAAGUUAUCUAAGCGUCCAGUCAUUUCGUCGUAGCUUUGGAACGAUAUCACUUUAAUCAAAAUGAAGCCAAUGAUGUUUACUCUGUGUAUAUUGCUGUGUGCAAUGCUGAUUACUGUCGAAGGCCGCCGACACAAGCGGUCAAGCAGCGCAUCAAGUAGUAGCGAAAGCGAAUCAACUGAAACAGGUACGGGCACAGGUACUGGAACUGGUACAGAUACGGGAACUGAAACCGGCGGAGACGCUCCAGCUGUUACGAUCCCCGUUGCGACCCCAGCAGGAACUACUGCACCAGCAGUAACAGUAACAACACCACCUUAGCGGAAUCUUUCGUUACAAACAAAUCUUCCUUUCUGCCGUUUUCCACGGGUGCAAUUUUCUGAUGAGUAGCUCGAUUUGUUUAUAGUAAAAUGUGUUCACAGUGCUUUUACACACCUCAUCAAUGAUGUCAUAGGCUAUGUCUCUGAAAUACGGGUACCUAUUUAAGGUAUUUAGGGGGAAACCAGUGCAAGGUGUUCAGAAUGACUUGUAAAAGA